rnacentral:lncRNA from 1 species
CGAGGGCCGAUCUCAGAAAUCGAAGAGGCACCUACUUUUCCAGCCUUGUCAGCAUCUGUCACACGCACACUCAGCUUUGCGGAAAUUAUGGGCAUUAUGUCAAAGACUUCUGGGGAAGUAGAAAACACAUGAAUCUUACUGUUCAAUCACCCACUUCCCACACGCAACAAUAGCUCAUGGGUACCACAGAUAACUUUGCCAAAGUUCUCUGCCAAAGUUGAGCACGUGAAGCUUGCAGCUCCCACUACAUCGCUCUGACCAAGAAGGGUAAAAGAAUAGCAAAGAAAUAGCACUAACAAAGUUUAGACCCAUAAAUUUUGAAGGUCUAGCUACCAUAUUAUUACCCACAAGGGUAAAGGAACAGUACCACUGCUGGAUAAUUGGAAAGUCCCUGUAUGUCAACCUCUGUGCUUCGUGGCAAGGUAGACUAGCAAACAUGCCCAACCUUUACUCACAUUCGAGAAAACACUCCCAAUAAGAUUGCUUGCUCCAAAAUCGAAGAGGCACCGUCCUCCGAAUCUAAAGAGAGCCAGACUCCCAACAUGACUACUUUCUUAAAAAUCGAAGAGAGGGUAAAGGAACAGUACCAUUGCUGGAUAAUUGGAAAGUCCCUGUGUGUCAACCUCUGUGCUUCGUGGCAAGGUAGACUAGCAAACAUGCCCAACCUUUACUCACAUUCGAGAAAACACUCCCAACAAGAUUGCUUGCUCCAAAAUCGAAGAGGCACCGCCCUCCGAAUCUCGAGAGCCAGACUCUCCCCAACAUGAUUACUUUCUCAAAAAUCGAAGAGAGACACUGCUCCCCGAAUCUCGAGAGCCAGACCCCCAGCAUGAUUGCUUUCUCAAAAAUCGAUGAGGCAUCGUUCUCCGAAUCAAUCGAAGAGGCGCUCGCUUUCUCAAAAGCUGGGCUGCUCAGAGACCACGAGGGCCGAUCUCAGAAAUCGAAGAGGCACCUACUUUUCUAGCCUUGUCAGCACCUGUCACACGCGCACACUCAGCUUUGCAGAAAUUAUGGGCAUUCUGUCGAAGACUUCUGGUGAAGUAGAAAGCACAUGAAUCUUACUGUUCAAUCACCCACUUCCCACACGCAACAAUAACUCAUGGGUACCACAGAUCAACUUUGCCAAAGUUCUCUGCCAAAGUUGAGCACGUGAAGCUUGCAGCUCCCACUACAUCGCUCUGACCAAGAAAGGUAAAAGAAUAGCAAAGAAACAGCACA